AUUGAACGCUGACGGCAUGCCUUACACAUGCAAGUCGAACGGCAGCACGGGUGCUUGCACCUGGUGGCGAGUGGCGAACGGGUGAGUAAUACAUCGGAACAUGUCCUGUAGUGGGGGAUAGCCCGGCGAAAGCCGGAUUAAUACCGCAUACGAUCUACGGAUGAAAGCGGGGGACCUUCGGGCCUCGCGCUAUAGGGUUGGCCGAUGGCUGAUUAGCUAGUUGGUGGGGUAAAGGCCUACCAAGGCGACGAUCAGUAGCUGGUCCGAGAGGACGACCAGCCACACUGGGACUGAGACACGGCCCAGACUCCUACGGGAGGCAGCAGUGGGGAAUUUUGGACAAUGGGCGAAAGCCUGAUCCAGCAAUGCCGCGUGUGUGAAGAAGGCCUUCGGGUUGUAAAGCACUUUUGUCCGGAAAGAAAUCCUUGGCCCUAAUACGGUCGGGGGAUGACGGUACCGGAAGAAUAAGCACCGGCUAACUACGUG
rnacentral:rRNA from 1 species